CAAGUACUCCCUCCGUCCGGAAAUACUUGUCAUCAAAAUGGAUGUGUCUAGAACUAAAAUACAUCUAGAUACAUCCAUUUCAAUGACAAGUAUUUUUGGACGGAGGGAAUACAAG
rnacentral:pre_miRNA from 1 species